rnacentral:tRNA from 1 species
CAGAAAAUAGUUUAGUAUAAAAUUUCAGCUUUGGGAGCUGGAGAUAGAGGUUUAAGUCCUCUUUUUCUGA